UACGAAGGGUGCAAACGUUGCUCGGAAUUAUUGGGCGUAAAGCGCACGUAGGCGGCUUUGCAAGUCGGAUGUGAAAUCCCUCGGCUUAACCAAGGAAGUGCAUCCGAAACUGCAGAGCUUGAGUACUUAAGAGGAUCGCGGAAUUCCCGGUGUAGAGGUGAAAUUCGUAGAUAUCGGGAGGAACACCAGUGGCGAAGGCGACUACCUGGCCUGUUCUUGACGCUGAGGCGCGAAAGCUAGGGGAGCAAACGGG
rnacentral:rRNA from 1 species